rnacentral:rRNA from 1 species
UAAUUCUAGAGCUAAUACAUGCACCAAAGCUCCGAAUUUUUGACGAGCGCAUCUAUUAGAUUAAAACCAAUCGGGUUUCGGCCCGUUUGUUGGUGACUCUGAAUAACUAUGGCUGAUCGCAUGGUCUAGAACCGGCGACGUGUCUAUCAAGUGUCUGCCUUAUCAACUGUCGAUGGUAGUUUAUGUGCCUACCAUGGUUGUAACGGGUAACGGAGAAUAAGGGUUCGACUCCGGAGAGGGAGCCUGAGAAACGGCUACCACAUCCAAGGAAGGCAGCAGGCGCGCAAAUUACCCACUCUCGGCAUGAGGAGGUAGUGACGAAAAAUAACGAGACCGUUCUCUAUGAGGCCGGUUAUCGGAAUGGGUACAAUUUAAACCCGUUAACGAGGAUCUAUGAGAGGGCAAGUCUGGUGCCAGCAGCCGCGGUAAUUCCAGCUCUCAAAGUGUAUAUCGUCAUUGCUGCGGUUAAAAAGCUCGUAGUUGGAUCUGCGCCUCAGGACCUGGUCCGCCCACUGGGUGAGAACUGGGCUCCUGGGCUAGUUCUGCUGGUUUUCCCUGCGUUGCCUUCAUCGGUAGCGUAGGGUGGCUAGCGAGUUUACUUUGAAAAAAUUAGAGUGCUUCACGCGGGCUUAUGUCUGAAUACUCGUGCAUGGAAUAAUAGAAUAGGAUCUCGGCUCUAUUUUGUUGGUUUUCUGAUCUGAGAUAAUGGUUAAGAGGGACGGACGGGGGCAUUCGUAUCGCUGCGUGAGAGGUGAAAUUCUUGGACCGUAGCGAGACGUCCGACUGCGAAAGCAUUUGCCAAGAAUGUCUUCAUUAAUCAAGAACGAAAGUCAGAGGUUCGA